rnacentral:lncRNA from 1 species
CUUGUGCAGCCUUGCGCUGCCUUGAGGGUGUGCUCCGUCAGGCCGCCGUUCCUGAAUUCGGUAGCUCGUAGCUAAAUUUUGUCUCUGUGCACCACGCCUACUCGUCUGUUAACACACCUUCAGGGACAGUGGCCCCACCGCCUCCCUGGGUAGCCCGUGCUAACAACGCUACACAGCCCUCUGUGUGGAAAAAGUUUUCCUACUGUCCACCCUGACCCUCCCCAGGCACAAUUUGAGACCGUUACCAAAAAAAGAUUCCCUCGGGGAAAGGAAAGCCGUGCACCCGCCUUGGAGCACUUUGUCCCGGGCUGUGCCGUGAGGAGAGGAGCAGCAGUGCAGAGGGGAGCAUGUGGAGAUGCGCCCGGAGAAGGAGCAGCCGGCACAGCUGCCAGCCCUUCCCGUUGGGUUUCCAGGCAGGAGUAAAACAAUGGCUGCUGAGAUAUGUUACAUGGAAUGGGAACCUGGACUACCUCUUGCACAAAGCUGCUGAGGAAAAGCAUACGACUUAGAGAUGCUUCCAAGUUUUCAUACGGACUGAACAGGAUUCGGUGCAGAACCCACAGAUGUGGAUUUACCAGAGGGCUCACAGAAGGUGAUUCCAGCAGAUGCCAGCUAUGAGCCUCCUGCUAUUGUAAGGCCGUACAGCCAAGGAGUGCUGAGUCAGCUGCACGACAGAGGAGUCCAGAGAAGCAAAGUGGGAUCAGAUGUGAAAAGUUUGGGUGUAACCCAUUGUGCUGCCCUUUGCUGACAGCCUCAAGACCCUGUGCCUACCUUCAGGCUGUACAGAGACCCAGAUAUGCUUCCAACAAGUCUUCAAAAAGUUGUUGUUCAUUACAAAAGAAAGUGCUCCAUG